CAACCUUGCGGCCGUACUCCCCAGGCGGUCAACUUCACGCGUUAGCUUCGUUACUGAGUCAGUGAAGACCCAACAACCAGUUGACAUCGUUUAGGGCGUGGACUACCAGGGUAUCUAAUCCUGUUUGCUCCCCACGCUUUCGUGCAUGGGCGUCAGUACAGGUCCAGGGGAUUGCCUUCGCCAUCGGUGUUCCUCCGCAUAUCUACGCAUUUCACUGCUACACGCGGAAUUCCAUCCCCCUCUACCGUACUCUAGCUACGCAGUCACAAAUGCAGGUCCCAGGUUGAGCCCGGGGAUUUCACAUCUGUCUUACAUAACCGCCUGCGCACGCUUUACGCCCAGUAAUUCCGAUUAACGCUCGCACCCUACGUAUUACCGCGGCUGCUGGCACGUAGUUAGCCGGUGCUUAUUCUUACGGUACCGUCAUUAGCCCCCUGUAUUAGAAAGGACCGUUUCGUUCCGUACAAAAGCAGUUUACAACCCGAAGGCCUUCAUCCUGCACGCGGCAUUGCUGGAUCAGGCUUGCGCCCAUUGUCCAAAAUUCCCCA
rnacentral:rRNA from 1 species